rnacentral:misc_RNA from 1 species
CCUGAUAGAAGCCUCUCCAGGCGCUAUCCCACCCGUGCCUACAUACUCUUGUUGCUUUGGCGGGCCGUGGCCUCCACUGCGGGUUCUGCUCGCACGUGCCCGCCAGAGAACCAAACUCUGAAAUUUAGUGACGUCUGAGUAUUAUUAAAUAAUAA